rnacentral:rRNA from 1 species
AUUGAACGCUGGCGGCAGGCCUAACACAUGCAAGUCGAACGGUAGCACAGAGAGCUUGCUCUCGGGUGACGAGUGGCGGACGGGUGAGUAAUGUCUGGGAAACUGCCUGAUGGGGGGGGAUAACUACUGGAAACGGUAGCUAAUACCGCAUAACGUCGCAAGACCAAAGAGGGGGACCUUCGGGCCUCUUGCCAUCAGAUGUGCCCAGAUGGGAUUAGCUAGUAGGUGGGGUAACGGCUCACCUAGGCGACGAUCCCUAGCUGGUCUGAGAGGAUGACCAGCCACACUGGAACUGAGACACGGUCCAGACUCCUACGGGAGGCAGCAGUGGGGAAUAUUGCACAAUGGGCGCAAGCCUGAUGCAGCCAUGCCGCGUGUAUGAAGAAGGCCUUCGGGUUGUAAAGUACUUUCAGCGGGGAGGAAGGUGCUGAGGUUAAUAACCUCAGCAAUUGACGUUACCCGCAGAAGAAGCACCGGCUAACUCCGUG